GAUGAACGCUGGCGGCGUGCUUAGCACAUGCAAGUCGAACGAACCUUCGGGUUAGUGGCGGACGGGUGAGUAACGCGUGAGAAUCUGCCCUCAGGAGGGGGAUAACGGUUGGAAACGACCGCUAAUACCCCAUAUGCCUAUUGGUGAAAUGAAUUUCGCCUGAGGAUGAGCUCGCGUCUGAUUAGCUAGUUGGUGAGGUAAUGGCUCACCAAGGCUUCGAUCAGUAGCUGGUCUGAGAGGAUGAUCAGCCACACUGGGACUGAGACACGGCCCAGACUCCUACGGGAGGCAGCAGUGGGGAAUUUUCCGCAAUGGGCGAAAGCCUGACGGAGCAACGCCGCGUGAGGGACGAAGGCCUCUGGGCUGUAAACCUCUUUUCUCAAGGAAGAAGAUAUGACGGUACUUGAGGAAUAAGCCACGGCUAAUUCCGUGCCAGCAGCCGCGGUAAUACGGGAGUGGCAAGCGUUAUCCGNAAUUAUUGGCCGUAAAGCGUCCGCAGGCGCUUUUUCAGGUCUGCUGUUAAAACGUGGAGCUUAACUCCAUCAUGGCAGUGAAACUGAAGGCUUGGGUAUGUAGGGCAAAGG
rnacentral:rRNA from 1 species